UUGCAGCCUUCUGAAGUGGUGUUAUGCUGUAUGGCAGGUCCUUAAAGCCUUCUGAAAUUGUAUAGCGAUGCUCAGUCUUUUAUCGCUGUCUCAACUGUGGUGUAUGCUGCAACACUGUUGGACACCAAAAUCAGUGAUUCUGUUCUGCAUUUCUUCAAAGAAUUAAGUCUUUCUGCACAACCCUGUUCACACUUGUCUGCAGUACAAAAGCAGGACUGUGGGGUACAGGACAUUCCAAUUACCAGCCCAUAAGUCUCUGUUCUUUCAGACAUCUCAUAGACACAUCCUCAAGGAUACCUCAAAGAAGUGAAUUUAUAAAGAAAAAGGUUAACAAAGUUAAAAAGAAAGCAUGAUCUUGGUUGCUUCUGUUUUUCUUGCUCUCUCUUCCCAGUAUUAAAGGCUGAUUCCUGGACUAGUGUGUAAGAAGUAAUGAAUUACUGAUUUCAGGGGCAAUGAACUAAAUGAUAAAUGCCAAAUGUCUAACCUAGUCUCUAUUACAAAUGUUAACCACAGCACAUUGGGAAUAUGGAUGUGUAAAUAAACAAUAAAAGAGUGUGAG